GACGAACGCUGGCGGCGUGCUUAAGACAUGCAAGUCGAACGCAGCCUUCGGACUGAGUGGCGCACGGGUGAGUAACACGUAACAGACCUACCCCCAAGUCGCGAAUAACCAGCAGAAAGGAUGGCUAAUACGUGCCGUGAUGAUCCGCUGUGGCGGAUCAUUAAAGACUUGAUCGCUUGGGUAUGGGGUUGCGUGCCAUCAGGUAGCUGGUAAGGUAAAGGCUUACAAAGGCAACGACUGAUAGGCGGCCUGAGAGGGUGGCCGGCCACAGGGGCACUGAGACACGGGUCCCACUCCUACGGGAGGCAGCAGUUAGGAAUCUUCCACAAUGGGCGCAAGCCUGAUGGAGCGACGCCGCGUGAGGGAUGAAGGUUCUCGGAUCGUAAACCUCUGAACCAACGACGAAAGACCCGACAAGGGAGAUGACGGUAGUUGGGUAAUAGCACCGGCUAACUCCGUGCCAGCCGCCGCCGUAACAC
rnacentral:rRNA from 1 species